UUAUAUAGGAAACAAGCAGACUUCAGGAUCCAGUAGUAGCUUAUAGAGCCCCAAUGAUAUGAAACGAUGACGACACCGACAUGAAACGAUGACGACACCGACAUUAUUAGUGGAGUUGGUUUACACAUCUGCAUUUAAUGUGGACCUAUGCAAAGAAAUGGACAUAACAGAGCUUAACAGUCAAACACUAUAGUUUAAGAAAGCAUACAAAUAGAUGGAGAUAGACGCAAUUCGUCAGUAAUAAAGACACCAGCAAGAAAUAUGACGAUGGAAAAUUCCAGUAAGAUUGGAACACACGCAAGUCAGUGCAAAGCAGGUGAAAGUUGUUGAGCUGGUAGGUAUUAUUUGAUUAUAUCUGAGGGUAACUGGCAUAAUUUGAAAUUUGGAGUAUAUUUUCAGCUGUUAGCAAAUAGGACCAUAACAGCUCAAGCAAAAUAGCUGAAAUGAACAAAAAGAGUAAUGAUUUGAUACCAUGGCAUAAGCUACAACUUAUCACAGCUGUCUUGCAUGCAUCUUUCUAAAAUACACUGGCUAACACCAAUGGAUGAAUUACUGGAAACUUCUGAACAUUUGUAUGGUAUUACAAGGUUCAUGACCAUGCCAUCAUACAUUAAUAUUCUAACACAAUAAAAAUAGCAUCAAUCAAAGAUAUGCAAUUGAACACAGAUCAAAGAAAUUGUCCACAACGAGUGCACAAACUUAUGCCGUUAUGCAGUCUAGAGAAAGGAAACACAAAUAUGAAGUUCAUGGACCAUAAAUGCACUGACUCCAUAAGCAUCCUGUGAUCAAACUAAGGAAUUUCUUUUACUUAUGCUGCCUGGACGCCAUAACGUGCACAAUAAUUCUUACUUCAGAGUUCAGACUAAGUAAAUGGCAAAGCACUAUUAAAAAAGAUUAAAAGAAUAGCAUAGCGCAGCAUAUCUAGAAUCAGGUUAGCAAAAAAUGAAACAAAUUGAAACCAAUCAACGCCAGUACAUCAUAAACCCUCCCUUCCCACCAGGAAAAGACAAUAAUGCGUAAGCACCCCAUCCACGUGUUGCACAAUUCCAGGUUCCUAACUAAGAUGAUUAUGACCACCAUAGGAGAAUAUGCAUAGGUCCAAUCUAUUUAAUUUUGUCCAAUCUUUCAUGGACCCCAACAACACAACUAACACUGAUUCAUUUACCUAAUCCCCAAAGUCGGAUGGCAAAUGAACGACAAUUUUAAUGUGCAUUUGGACAGAGAUACAUAUAAACAAAUUUGAGGAUCAUUGAAGAAUCUAGAAUCCUGAUCAAUUUAUUCCUAAUGGCAUGCUUGUACAAUGAAAAAUUAUAUCUGAGGGUAACUUGCAUAAUUUGAAAUUUGGAGUAUAUUUUCAGCUGUUAGCAUAUAGUACUAUAACAGCUCAAGUAAAAUAGCUGAAAUGAACAAAAAGAGUAAUGAUUUGAUACCAUGGCAUAAGCUACAACUUAUCACAGCUGUCUUGCAUGCAUCUUUCUAAAAUACACUGGCUAACACCAAUGGAUGAAUUACUGAAACUUCUGAACAUUUGUAUGGUAUUACAAGGUUCAUGACCAUGCCAUCAUACAUUAAUAUUCUAACACAAUAAAAAUAGCAUCAAUCAAAGGUAUGCAAUUGAACACAGAUCAAAGAAAUUGUCCACAACGAGUGCACAAACUUAUGCCGUUAUGCAGUCUAGAGAAAGGAAACACAAAUAUGAAGUUCAUGGACCAUAAAUGCACUGACUCCAUAAGCAUCCUGUGAUCAAACUAAGGAAUUUCUUUUACUUAUGCUGCCUGGACACCAUAACGUGCACAAUAAUUCUUACUUCAGAGUUCAGACUAAGUAAAUGGCAAAGCACUAUUAAAAAAGAUUAAAAGAAUAGCAUAGCACAACAUAUCUAGAAUCAGGUUAGCAAAAACUGAAACAAAUUGAAACCAAUCAAUGCCAGUACAUCAUAAGCCCUCCCUUCCCACCAGGAAAAGACAAUAAUGCGUAAGCAUCCCAUCCACGUGUUGCACAAUUCCAGGUUCCUACUAAGAUGAUUAUGACCACCAUAGGAGAAUAUGCAUAGGUCCAAUCUAUUUAAUUUUGUCCAAUCUUUCAUGGACCCCAACAACACAACUAACACUGAUUCAUUUACCUAAUCCCCAAAGUCGGAUGGCAAAUGAACGACAAUUUUAAUGUGCAUUUGGACAGAGCAACAUAUAAACAAAUUUGAGGAUCAUCGAAGAAUCUAGAAUCCUGAUCAAUUUAUUCCUAAUGGCAUGCUUGUACAAUGAAAAAUUCAGUACUUCAUCUAUGACUUCAGUAGUUGAGUAGUGCAAUAUCCCACAAACACACUGUGCACUUAUAAGGAAUACUCCACGUCUCCACACAUUUACGCUCAAUAGUGCCCUAGUUCUUCCCACAGUUACAAUUAAUAGCUUAAGUGAAUAAGUUGUCGCCAUUUACUGAUUGUCUGAUUUUGAUCCUAAAGUAGUCUGGUAAUUCCAACCUGCCACACUUACCUAUUUUUGCCAUUCUAGUCUAGCACAAACCUGAACUCAGAGACGACAUUCCCCGCACCAAAGUACUAAACCGAGAAUGACCUGCUCAGCACUAGCAGCCCAUGGAGCUGCUAAUCAAUAGAAACAUUAGCCAUCACUCAAAAUCUAUUCACUGCUGAUAAGCAUAAAAAAUCUAUUCUUUGAGGCAUAAUAACAAUUCGCAUUAUUUACAGCUUGGCUCUGCUACAAACCGCAACCAAAGCAUUACAGGAGAUGCCAUUUCUUUGAAGCAUAAUAACAGUUGGCAUUAUCUACAGCUUGGCUCUGCUACACCGCAACCAAAUGGCACCACUAAGAUGACUAAGACCAUGACAUGAGAAUAUGGACCUUGCUAAACUUAGGUACAGUCUAUUUAAAUUUGCCCAAUCUUUCAUCGACCCCAAUAUCACAACUAACACUGAUUUAGUGAUUCAUUUACCUAAUCCCUUGAGCCAAGUGACAAAUAACCUAGAAUUCUUAUGUCCUUUUGACAAGCAACACUUCUAUAAACAAAUAUGAGGAUCAUUCACGGGCAUUCCAGAAUUUCAAUAAACAUUUAUAAUGCUGCAC
rnacentral:lncRNA from 1 species